rnacentral:lncRNA from 1 species
AUGGCCAAACGGACAUUGGAAACUUCCUCGCGUGCGCGCGGUGAUCAGCACUCGCAUGAAGAGGUGGGAGGAUAGCAUCCUUCCAGAAGAAUUUUAUCACCAUUUUAUAUUUUCUUAGAUCAAGAUUGAAUCACUUAUUCACAUGAAUUUUUGUGGAUUUUUUUGAUUUGAGAAGGGAUGCAAAAAUAUCCUUUCUCUAGUUGCGCACACAGAUGAGCAUGCUGAUUGACGUAUCAUUGAUUAGAGUCCUUCCACUUGAAGGAACUCUUUUCUCUGAUAAUCAGAUCAAAUAUGCCCCUUGGAUGAGGUGUGCUCCUCCCUUUUGGAGUCCCUCUGGUGGCUAUAAAUUGGUCGGGGUGUUGGGUGUCCGUGGCAUUCAGAUCGAGUUUCCAAUUUUGUCUCCGUUGCUCUCCUUUCUUUCUUACAAUCUAUCUUAGUUUUGGGACAAGGCUUUGAGAUUUAAGAUAAAGCCUUAUCUAAUCCAAAAAGGAGUUGUGAGGAUCUUAAAGAAGGAGAAUCAGAAGUCCAGAGGAGGUUCUGAGAGGGUGGAGUUAGGUUCUUGAAGAAACCUAAUCGAUAUGAGGCUAGUCGAGUUUUAGGGGCUAGAACUCUUGAAG